AGACUGAGUUUCCCUCUUGUCACCCAGGCUGAAGCGCAGUGGCACGCUCUGGGCUCACUGCAACCUCUGCCUCCUGAGUUCAAGAGAUUCUCCUGCCUCAGCCUCCCAAGUAGCUGGGAUUACAGGCCCAUGCCACCACACCCGGCUAAUUUUUGUAUUUUUAGUAGAGACAGGAUUUCACCAUGUUGGCCGUGCUGGUCUUGAACUCCUGACCUCAAGUGAUUUGCCUGCUUUGGCCUCCCAAAGUGCUGGGAUUACAGACAUGAGUCACCAUGCCCUGCCUGCAGCUUCUUCUUGAAGUGUUCUGGACUUGGAAGAUUUGUUGAAUUACUAUGAAGUCACAUCUAAAGUUUGAAAGAGAUCGGGUCUCACUAUUUUGCCCACGCUGGUCUUGAACUCCUGUCCUCAAGCAGGAUAUCCUCCUGCCUUGGCCUCCCAAAGUUCUGGGAUUACAGGUAUGAGCCACUACACUCAGCCUUAUUAAUAUAAAUCUAAUAAUAUUAUGUCUCUGUGUUAGCAAUGGUAUGAAACCCCCCAAAUGGUGUUAGAUCCAGAGUCAUUUGUCUCUGACAUUUCUUAGGAAAUGUUUUUCCUUUCUAUCGAUGAAUGGGUUCCUACGGAUAGCUUGUUCAUUCUCUCUUUAAUUUUGGUUAAAGCAUUUCCGAAAGUGGGAGGAUACGUCUCCUUUCUUUAACUUCUGGUGGAAGGGUGUGGAAUUUAUCAAAAAUAUGAGGGAAGACUGCAUAAAUGUAGGGGCAGAGUAUUUAUAUUAACAUUACCUUGUUUUCUUCUGUGGGAUAUUUAGGAACUAUUUUUUUUUCUGGAAGUAGUGAUGGCAUCAAGGCUUAAAGUAGGAAAGAAGUAAAGAGAAUAAUUGUGUAGUUAUUAUGUGAAUGUUUAAUUGAAUGCUCCCUAUUUUUAAUUAAGAUGUUUAAAUUAAAUGAAUUUUUUUUUUUAAACGUAGUCUCGCUCUGUCGCCAGGCUGGAGUGCACGCUGGAGCGCGAUCUUGUCUUACUACAACCUCUGCCUCCCAGAUUCAAGCGAUUUUCCUGCCUCAGCCUCCCGAGUAGCUGGGACUACAGGGACGCACCACCAUGCCCAGCUAAUUUUUGUAUUUUUAGUAGAGAUGUGGUUUCACCAUGUUGGCCAGGAUGGUCUUGAUCUCUUGACCUCGUGAUCCACCCGCCUCGGCUUCCCAAAGUGCUGGGAUUAUAGGCAUAAGCCACCACGCCUGGCCUGAAAUUAUUUUUCUAUACAGUUCUUAGAGGAAGUGUUUGGGUCACCUACAUAGGCAUGUAGUUCUUGACACUGGUUACUAGAGGAUUUAUAGAGGAUGUUCAUAUAUUCAACAAGCAUUUGUUGAAUACCUAUUAGGUGCUAGCCAUGGAAAUAUGGGAUUGAAAAAAACAGACAAAAAUCCCUAAUCUCUCUUACAAUCUAGUGAGGACAAUCAGACAGUACACAAAAUAAGCAUAAUAUAUAGUAAUCAUGUGGUAGUAAGUUCUAUAGAGCAAAAACAAGUUUAAAGAAGGAGGUUGGGGGGAGUGUUGAGAUGCAUAAGGUUUGCAGUUAUAAAUGUGGUGGUUAGGGAAUCAUUUGCUGAAAAAUGAACAUUGAGCAAAAACCUGAAGGAUGUUAAAGGAAUAAGAUACAUGUAAUCCAGAUGAAAGUUUUUUGGAUAAAGGAAAGAGCAAUUGCUAAAUCCCUGAGGUGGGAGUGGGCUGUUCAUAAGACAGCAAAGCAGCCAGGGUAGCUGAGUGAUUGACAGCGGAAGAUGGAAAAUGGGGAAUAGUUGGUGUAGGACCUAGUUGUGAGGAUAUUGACUUUGUUUUUUUUCCAAGACAGAGCUGUGCUCUGUCGCCCAGGCUAGAGUGCAGUGGCAUGAUCUUGGCUCACUGCAAUCUCCGCCUCCCGGGUUCAAGCAAUGCUCCUGCCUUAGCCUCCCCAGUAGCUGGGAUUACAGGCACCUGCCACCAUGUCCAAUUAAUUUUUGUAUUUUUAGUAGAGAUGGGGUUUCGCCAUGUUAGCCAGGCUGGUCUUGGACUCCUGACCUCAAGUGAUCUGCCCGCCUCAGCCUCCCAAAGUGCUGGGAUUACAGGCGUGAGCCACCAUGCCCACCCUAGGAUAUUUACUUUUAUUUUGAAUAAGGAUGCCACUGGAGGCCAGACGUGGUGGCUAACGCCUAUAAUCCCAGCACUUUGGGAGGACGAGGCGGGUGGAUCACGAGGUUAGGAGAUUGAGACCAUCCUGGCCAACAUGGUGGAACCCCGUCUCUACUAAAAAAAAAAAAAAAAUUAGCCAGGUGUGGUUGCAUGCGCCUGUAGUCCCAGCAACUCAGGAGGCUGAGGAAGGAGAAUCACUUGAACCCGGGAGGUGGAGGUUGCAGUGAGCCGAGAUCGCCCCACUGUACUCCAGCCUGGGUGACAGAGCAAGACUCUGUCUCAAAAAAAAAAAAAAAAAAAAAUGCCACUGGAGAGCUUUGAGGAGAGGAUCAGUCUGGCUACUGGGUUGGGAAUUAAUCAUAGCAGGCAAAGGCAAAAGAAGUGAGGUUAGUUAGGAGGCUUUACAACAACCCAGAUGAGAGAUGGGAGGUUUUAGCCAGGGAGAUGGAGAUGUUGAGAGAGUAGCUGGACUCAGGAUUGUGACAGUGGACUGAAGGAAAAGCAGGUUUUGGGGGAAGAUUGCAUUUCUCCCUUCAACUUCAGUUACGUAGAUCACCCAUAUGCCACACAACUGCAACUCUGUAACAGCCAAUUUUUAGCUUCUUCCUUAUCUAAGCCAUCCUGUAGGCCAUAGGAAUUAAAACUAGGUUGGAUCAAGGAAAAGUGAAUGCUAGAUCCAUACAAAACUAUUUGGAUAUUUGCCUUUGUAUUUUAUUGUUUUGAAAUUAUUUUUAAUGGUUCAAUAAACUCUUACUAGAACUACAAGCAAUAUAAUUAUUUCCUCUGCUUUAUUAGAAAUGUUUUUGUAAUCAUGUUAAUUAUAUUACUUUUAACUAUAUAAGGCUUGUGUCUCUUUUUUAUAAAUUGAUGUUUAUAUCCUCUGUAAGAUAAAUAUAAAGGCUUUUUGUUCAUAUGAGGAUGUGCUGUAAGAUUGCAGGGAGUAUAAAAAUUGGCAAUGGAGUAGGUGACUUGUAUUAUUAGUCUGAUCUUAAUGUUGUAACAUACUGAUCAUGCAAAAUAUAUAAUUAGUUUGUUUUUGCUAUUUAAUAUGUGUAGGACUGUAACAAACAGACUAGAGAAGAUGGCCAUAAGUUACAAGAAAGCAAGUAAAUUACUAUCUAAUUAAAAGUAUUUGAUUCUAAUACUAGCAGAGUUCUGUCUAGAAAAUAAAUUAACUUUCUGUAUGCUUUUUUUGGUCUCAAUUUUCCAAUAAUUUCCCUCAACUCUGAUAUGUGUCUGUUGAAUAAUAUUUCUGAUGUUAAGAAUUAAAGGGGGUGUAGAUCAGUGGUAGGGCGCACGCUUAGCAUGCAUGAGGCCCUGGGUCAAUCCCCAGCACCUCCACAAAGGUUUUCUGGCUGGACACGGUGGCUCACACCUGUAAUCUCAGCAUUUUGGGAAGCUGAGUUGGACAGAUCACUAGAGGUCAGGAGUUCGAGACCAGCGUGGCCAACAUGGUGAAACCCUAUUUCUACUAAAAAUACAAAAAAAUUAGCCGGUCACGGUGGCACACACCUGUAAUCUCAGCUACUUGGGAGGCUGAGGCAUGACAAUCGCUUGAACCUGGAAGGCGG
rnacentral:tRNA from 1 species